rnacentral:rRNA from 1 species
UACAGAGGGGGCAAGCGUUGUUCGGAAUUACUGGGCGUAAAGGGCGCGUAGGCGGCCUUCUAAGUCGAACGUGAAAUCCCCGGGCUCAACCCGGGAACUGCGUCCGAUACUGGAAGGCUUGAAUCCGGGAGAGGGAUGCGGAAUUCCAGGUGUAGCGGUGAAAUGCGUAGAUAAUCUGGAGGAACACCGGUGGCGAAGGCGGCAUCCUGGACCGGUAUUGACGCUGAGGCGCGGAAAGCCAGGGGA